GCUGUCUUGUGCCUCCUCUCAAGUUGCUUUUUGGAAAGCAAAGAAACAAAUGUUGAUUGCUCUACAGAGUCCUACGUAUCUGGUACACGUAGGCAGAUUUUUUUUUAAGGAGGGGCGUCUAUAUCCCCAAAGAAAGGUUGACUUGGGGGAACCGAGUAUGUCAGUCCCUCUUUUGGAUAUAUCUUGUCAGUGAUGAUGUUUCAUACCCCAUUCCCUCUUCUUUUUUUUCCGCCCUGAAAUAUAGACCCCCCCCCAAAAAAAGCUGAGAAUGUUUUUCAUUUCAUCAAAGAACAUAUAUUACUUUAGCGGUUUGGUUAAAAAAAAAUGUUGGUUUUCUGCCCACCCCUUUUCAAUCUGCUGGUGUCGGAGGAGCUCGGAGAAGACGCACAAUCGCGAGCAGCUUACGACACUCAGUGAGCAGUCCGUGCCGGUGCAGGCUCGCGCACACUCCUCGGCGGAGGGAAGGAGUCGAGCGCUGCUCUGCGCUCCGCAAACCAUGAGCCGGCCAGGUUUCCGCAGCUGCCUAGGACACGAAUGGCAGGCGUUCUUCAACCAGGACUCCAAGGUGGCUGCGAUCCGCGGUGGUCAUUGCCGAUGACAUUCUCCAGACUGUCAAAUCCUGGGGAGUCGCCAGCCCCGAGUUUGGAGUUGAUUUUUUCUCUCACCCCCCCACCACGUCACAGUCUGAACUGCAGAGGAAAAAAAGGGGGACCGAGGCAGGAAGGCGAGAAGCCCGGGCUCCAGGCACGUAGUUGGGAAACUUGCGGGUCCUAGAAGUCGCCUCCCCGCCUCGCCGACCGCCCCUGCAGCCCCGGAGCGCAGCAGCAAAGUGAGACAUUGUGCGUCUGCCAGAUCCUCGGGCCGCGGAGCAGGGCUGCCUCGGGAAACACAGAGGGGUCUUCUCUCGCCCUGCAUAUAAUUAGCCUACACACAAAGGGAGCAGCUGAAUGGAGGUUGUCACUCGCUGGAAAAGGAUUUCUGACCCAGCGCUUCCAAUGGACAUUCUCCAGUCUCUCUGGAAAGAUUCUCGCUAAUGGAUUUCCUGCUACUCGGCCUCUGUCUACACUGGCUGCUGAGGAGGCCCUCGGGGGUGGUCUUGUGUCUGCUGGGGGCCUGCUUUCAGAUGCUGCCCGCCGCCCCCAGCGGAUGCCCGGGGCAGUGUCGGUGCGAGGGGCGGCUGUUGUACUGCGAGGCGCUCAACCUGACCGAGGCGCCCCACAACCUGUCCGGCCUGCUGGGCUUGUCUCUGCGCUACAACAGUCUCUCGGAGCUGCGCGCCGGCCAGUUCACGGGGUUAAUGCAGCUCACGUGGCUGUAUUUGGAUCACAAUCACAUCUACUCGGUGCAGGGGGACGCCUUUCAGAAACUGCGCCGAGUUAAGGAACUCACACUUAGUUCCAACCAGAUCACCCAACUGGCCAACACCACCUUCCGACCCAUGCCCAACCUGCGCAGCGUGGACCUGUCCUACAAUAAGCUGCAGGCGUUGGCCCCAGAUCUUUUCCACGGGCUGCGGAAGCUCACCACGCUGCACAUGCGGGCCAAUGCCAUCCAGUUUGUGCCGGUGCGCAUCUUCCAGGACUGCCGCAGCCUCAAGUUUCUCGACAUUGGAUACAAUCAGCUCAAGAGUCUGGCGCGCAACUCUUUCGCUGGCUUGUUCAAGCUCACGGAGCUACACCUGGAGCAUAACGACUUGAUCAAGGUGAACUUCGCCCAUUUCCCGCGCCUCAUCUCUCUUCACUCGCUCUGUCUGCGGCGGAAUAAAGUGGCCAUUGUGGUCAGUUCUCUGGACUGGGUUUGGAAUUUGGAGAAAAUGGACUUGUCUGGGAACGAGAUCGAAUACAUGGAGCCCCACGUGUUCGAGACUGUGCCGUACCUGCAGUCCCUGCAGCUGGACUCCAACCGCCUCACCUAUAUAGAGCCCCGUAUCCUCAACUCCUGGAAGUCCCUUACGAGCAUUACCCUGGCCGGGAACCUGUGGGACUGCGGGCGCAAUGUGUGUGCCCUGGCCUCCUGGCUCAGCAACUUCCAGGGGCGCUAUGAUGCUAACUUACAGUGCGCCAGCCCGGAGUACGCACAGGGCGAGGACGUCUUGGAUGCUGUGUAUGCUUUCCACUUGUGCGAGGAUGGAGCCGAGCCCACCAGUGGCCACCUCCUGUCGGCUGUCACUAACCGCAGUGACCUAGCGCCCCCUGAGAGCUCAGCUACUACGGUGGUGGACCGCGGGGAGGGGCUGCACGAUGGCACACUUGAGUCCAUCACUGUGGCUCUCCCCGGCGGCGAGCACGCUGAGAACGCUGUGCAGAUCCACAAGGUGGUCACGGGCACGAUGGCUCUCAUCUUCUCCUUCCUCAUCGUGGUUCUCGUACUCUACGUAUCCUGGAAGUGUUUUCCAGCCAGCCUCAGGCAGCUCAGACAGUGCUUUGUCACGCAACGCAGGAAGCAGAAGCAGAAACAGACCAUGCAUCAGAUGGCUGCUAUGUCUGCCCAGGAAUACUACGUUGAUUACAAACCCAAUCACAUCGAGGGGGCCCUGGUGAUCAUCAACGAGUAUGGUUCAUGUACCUGUCACCAGCAGCCCGCGAGGGAAUGCGAGGUGUGAUUUUCCCAGUGGCUCUCAACCCAUGCGCUACCAAAUACGCCUGGGCAGCAGGGCUGGCCGGCCGGCACCAGGACGGGUCUCCUCUGCGCUCUGAUGUGUUGACUGAAACUGUAUGGGGAUCUCUCCCAGAGACUUGACAUUUUAGCUUUAUGUGUCUUAAAAACAAAACAAAACAAAAAAAAAAACACAACAAAAACCCCACCCCAUAAUCUUCAAGACAGUCUGUCUUAAAUUUCAUAUGAGAACUCCUUCCUCCCUUUGAAGACCUGUCCAUAUUCAGGAAUCUGAGAGUGUUAAAAGCUGGACACUGGUACACAGUCUCAUCUCUGCCUUCGUGUGCACCUCCCAUCCUCCCUGAUCCUGACAAGCUCAAGCCUCUGGUUUGUUCUAUCAACAGAUUCUAUAUUCACCCAGUCUCUGCACACCUCUCCUCAGGCUCAGAUAUCUGCUUCAUCUCCUGAGAGCUUGGACAUAGAGAGCUUGGAGACUUCUGGAGGAAGGUGGGAACUGAACUCUCACGUGGUUCAAUGGUAAUCAUGCUUUGCCGUCAGAGUGCAUGGGCUGCUUCUGUGAGCCUUCAAACACUGACUGCUACAGGGGUAUUGUAUCUGCCAGCCAUCGCGACAGUGUUUCACGACUGCACAGCCUAGUGGUUCUGACCUCCAACAAAAGCCAGCCACACAUACUGCAGUAAGCUGCCCCGUUGGGCUCCAUGUGUUUAUACAGAACUGCUAACCCACAAGAACUACAACUGAAAGAGAUAAGAGAAAGGAAAGGAUGUUUUUGUUUCCUACUCAAACCAGCUUUUAGGGAAAGAAAAAGAAAAAGAAAGGAGAAAGGAAAAAGGAAGAAAAAAACAUAGAAGAAUCAUUCUCCAAGCUGGUUCCCUGCCAAGCCUCCUCCCCUCCCUUCCUUGUCCAAGUACUCCACCGUCUGUGCAGACUGUAUAACAGCAAGUUCUGGAAACAGACUAAGGAAUCUGGGCCAGUCCAGAGGCUGUGCUAUCUGGGUAUCUGUGUCUGGUGGGGCUUUAGAGACUUUGUUUUUCACCUUAAUCUUUUAUCACCUACCAACCCUUGGAAGCACAUCUGUUACCAAUCGGCUUCUGUUUGUACAAUGAGACUAAAGGUAACCUCUCCAGAGAAAUCCUCGUAUCUUCCCUGUAGUUCAGUAGUGAGCCUGGCUCACAAAACAUGACUACGGUGAAUUAAAGAAUGUUAAUAAAAAUGAGAUAAACACCCAGGAACCAUUUUUUGCCCCCA